rnacentral:rRNA from 1 species
GACGAACGCUGGCGGCGUGCUUAACACAUGCAAGUCGAGCGGUAAGGCCCUUUCGGGGGUACACGAGCGGCGAACGGGUGAGUAACACGUGGGUGACCUGCCCUCAGCUCUGGGAUAAGCCUGGGAAACCGGGUCUAAUACCGGAUAUGACUCCAUGACGCAUGUUGUGGGGUGGAAAGCCUUGUGCGGCUGAGGAUGGGCCCGCGGCCUAUCAGCUUGUUGGUGGGGUGAUGGCCUACCAAGGCGACGACGGGUAGCCGGCCUGAGAGGGCGACCGGCCACACUGGGACUGAGACACGGCCCAGACUCCUACGGGAGGCAGCAGUGGGGAAUCUUGCGCAAUGGGCGAAAGCCUGACGCAGCGACGCCGCGUGAGGGAUGACGGCCUCGGUGUAA